rnacentral:SRP_RNA from 1 species
AUAAUAAUAAUUACACCGGGUGUGCGCAUUGUACCUGUAUCGGGUUCUGCGCGAUAAGGUACUGCGAACCAUGUCAGAUUCGGAAGAAAGCAGCAUUAAGCAGUCCACCUUAUGCGCCGCAGUAAGGCCGGAUACAGGUACAAUGCGCACACCCGGCUAUUAU